CGUGUGGGCAACCUGCCCUGUACUGGGGAAUAAUCAUUGGAAACGAUGACUAAUACCGCAUGUAGUCCUCGGAAGGCAUCUUCUGAGGAAGAAAGGAUUUAUUCGGUACAGGAUGGGCCCGCAUCUGAUUAGCUAGUUGGUGAGAUAACAGCCCACCAAGGCGACGAUCAGUAGCCGACCUGAGAGGGUGAUCGGCCACAUUGGGACUGAGACACGGCCCAA
rnacentral:rRNA from 1 species